UACAGAGGUCUCAAGCGUUGUUCGGAUUCAUUGGGCGUAAAGGGUGCGUAGGCGGCGCGGUAAGUCGGGUGUGAAAUUUCGAGGCUUAACUUCGAAACUGCAUUCGAUACUGCCGUGCUAGAGGACUGGAGAGGAGACUGGAAUUUACGGUGUAGCGGUGAAAUGCGUAGAUAUUGGGAAGAACACCGGUGGCGAAGGCGGCGCUCUGGACCGAGACUGACGCUGAGGCGCGAAAGCGUGGGGAGCAAACAGG
rnacentral:rRNA from 1 species